rnacentral:rRNA from 1 species
UACGGAGGGGACUAGCGUUGUUCGGAAUUACUGGGCGUAAAGCGCACGUAGGCGGAUUUGUAAGUCAGAGGUGAAAGCCCAGGGCUCAACCUUGGAAUUGCCUUUGAUACUGGCUGUCUUGAGUUCGGGAGAGGUGAGUGGAAUGCCGAGUGUAGAGGUGAAAUUCGUAGAUAUUCGGCGGAACACCAGUGGCGGAGGCGACUCACUGGCCCGAUACUGACGCUGAGGCGCGAAAGCGUGGGGAGCAAACAGG